rnacentral:ncRNA from 1 species
ACUGCGCGAAGUAGAGAAUCUGCCGUCUACGCCCCCUUGCGGGCAAAAGAAAUGUGGAAGUUGGCAGUCCCACCGCGCAGU